UGGGGAAUUUUGGACAAUGGGCGAAAGCCUGAUCCAGCAAUGCCGCGUGUGUGAAGAAGGCCUUCGGGUUGUAAAGCACUUUUGUCCGGAAAGAAAUCCUUGGCUCUAAUACAGUCGGGGGAUGACGGUACCGGAAGAAUAAGCACCGGCUAACUACGUGCCAGCAGCCGCGGUAAUACGUAGGGUGCAAGCGUUAAUCGGAAUUACUGGGCGUAAAGCGUGCGCAGGCGGUUUGCUAAGACCGAUGUGAAAUCCCCGGGCUCAACCUGGGAACUGCAUUGGUGACUGGCAGGCUAGAGUAUGGCAGAGGGGGGUAGAAUUCCACGUGUAGCAGUGAAAUGCGUAGAGAUGUGGAGGAAUACCGAUGGCGAAGGCAGCCCCCUGGGCAAUACUGACGCUCAUGCACGAAAGCGUGGGGAGCAAACAGGAUUAGAUACCCUGGUAGUCCACGCCCUAAACGAUGUCAACUAGUUGUCGGGGAUUCAUUUCCUAGUAACGUAGCUAACGCGUGAAGUUGACCGCCUGGGGAGUACGGUCGCAAGAUUAAAACUCAAAUGAAUUGACGGGGUCAUAGCUGUUUCC
rnacentral:rRNA from 1 species